rnacentral:rRNA from 1 species
UACGUAGGGUGCGAGCGUUAAUCGGAAUUACUGGGCGUAAAGCGUGCGCAGGCGGUGAUGUAAGACCGAUGUGAAAUCCCCGGGCUUAACCUGGGAACUGCAUUGGUGACUGCAUCGCUCGAGUAUGGCAGAGGGGGGUAGAAUUCCACGUGUAGCAGUGAAAUGCGUAGAGAUGUGGAGGAAUACCGAUGGCGAAGGCAGCCCCCCGGGUCAAUACUGACGCUCAUGCACGAAAGCGUGGGGAGCAAACAGG